rnacentral:lncRNA from 1 species
CCCCACCCCCCAAGGCUAUAGCCCACCCGUUUUUGUGGCCUUUUUCCGCUGGACGAACUUGGCCUCCCGGCCUUCGGGCGGUUAUUUUUGGGUGCGGCUUUGCCUGUGGGCUACUUUUGGCACACGGAGGCCCCUCACAAAGUGUCGCGGCAUUCUGAGUCCGGCGGACGAAGUUGGCCAGCCCCACCCCCCAAGGCUAUAGCCCACCCGUUUUUGUGGCCUUUUUCCGCUGGACGAACUUGGCGUCCCGGCCUUCGGGCGGUUAUUUUUGGGUGCGGCUUUGCCCGCGGCCUACUUUUGGCACACGGAGGCCCCUCGCAAGGUCUCGCGGCAUUCCGAGUCCGGCGGACGAAGUGGGCCGGCCCCACCCCCCAAGGCUAUAGCCCACCCGUUUUUGUGGCCUUUUUCCGCUGGACGAACUUGGCGCCCCGGCCUUCGGGCGGUUAUUUUUGGGCGCGGCUUUGCCCGCGGCCUAUUUUUGGCACACGGAGGCCCCUCGCAAAGUGUCGCGGCAUUCCGAGUCCGGCGGACAAAGUUGGCCAGCCCCACCCCCCAAGGCUAUAGCCCACCCGUUUUUGUGGCCUUUUUCCGCCCGGCCUUCGGGUGGUUAUUUUUGGGUGCGGCUUUACCCGCGGCCUACUUUUGGCACACGGAGGCCCCUCGCAAGGUCUCGCGGCAUUCCGAGUCCGGCGGACGAAGUUGGCCGGCCCCACCCCCCAAGGCUAUAGCCCACCCGUUUUUGUGGCCUUUUUCCGCUGGACGAACUUGGCCUCCCGGCCUUC